GUGUGCGUUAUCUUGGUGAGUGUGCGUUAUCUUGGUGAGUGUGCGUUAUCUUUUGUGCGUUAUCUUGGUGAGUGUGCGUUAUCUUGGUGAGUGUGCGUUAUCUUGGUGAGUGUGUGUGUGUGUGUGUGUGUGUGCGUUAUCUUGGUGAGUGUGCGUUAUCUUGGUGAGAGUGCGUUAUCUUGGUGAGUGUGCGUUAUCUUGGUGAGUGUGCGUUAUCUUGGUGAGUGUGCGUUAUCUUGGUGAGUGUGCGUUAUCUUGGUGAGUGUGCGUUAUCUUGGUGAGUGUGCGUUAUCUUGGUGAGUGUGCGUUAUCUUGGUGAGUGUGCGUUAUCUUGGUGAGUGUGCGUUAUCUUGGUGAGAGUGCGUUAUCUUGGUGAGUGUGCGUUAUCUUGGUGAGAGUGCGUUAUCUUGGUGAGAGUGCGUUAUCUUGGUGAGAGUGCGUUAUCUUGGUGAGUGUGCGUUAUCUUGGUGAGUGUGCGUUAUCUUGGUGAGUGUGCGUUAUCUUGGUGAGUGUGCGUUAUCUUGGUGAGAGUGCGUUAUCUUGGUGAGUGUGCGUUAUCUUGGUGAGUGUGCGUUAUCUUGGUGAGUGUGCGUUAUCUUGGUGAGUGUCGUUAUCUUGGUGAGUGUGUGUUAUCUUGGUGAGUGUGCGUUAUCUUGGUGAGUGUGCGUUAUCUUGGUGAGUGUGCGUUAUCUUGGUGAGUGUGUCAUUAUCUAGUAAUAUAUUCAUUCCAACACUGGUUAUUGAUUGUUGUGUUUUCUCUGAUGUGGAUUAGUAUUAAUAUUAUCUCUAGUAUUAAUAUUAUCUCUAGUAUUAGUAUUAAUUACUGUGUUGUGUGUUAGACUUACAGCCUGAAGUAUCUGUACGUGUCCCUGAUAUUAACAUGGAUUCUGGGAAGUGAUGGCCACCAGUGUGUCAGUGUUCUUCAGAGAGGAGUCAUAAAGUAUCAUGUGACAUAUUCCUAUUGUAGUAAAUCUAGGUUUUUCUACUAGUGUUUAACAUCGCUCCGUUGUUGAUGUGUUGCUGAAUGUGAUUAUUACAGAUUCAAACUAUCUUUUAUUUCAAUGCGAUUGACAUUUUCUAGACAAAGGGGUGAUUUGAGAUCACUUCCCUCUUUUUAUCGUUUGUUUACAGAUGAACUACUAGCAUAUAGUAUACAGUCAUUCAGUAUGUAGUAUUCAGUAUGUUAGUAUCUGAACACAGCCAAGGACUUGUUUAACUACUACAGAUGAACUACUAGCAUAUAGUAUACAGUCAUUCAGUAUAUAGUAUUCAAUAUGUUAGUAUCUGAACACAGCCAAGGACUUGUUUAACUACUACAGAUGAACUACUAGCAUAUAGUAUACAGUCAUUCAGUAUAUAGUAUUCAGUAUGUUAGUAUCUGAACACAGCCAAGGACUUGUUUAACUACUACAGAUGAACUACUAGCAUAUAGUAUACAGUCAUUCAGUAUAUAGUAUUCAGUAUGUUAGUAUCUGAACACAGCCAAGGACUUGUUUAACUACUACAGAUGAACUACUAGCAUAUAGUAUACAGUCAUUCAGUA
rnacentral:lncRNA from 1 species